CCUUCUUUUUCUUGUUUAUUUUCAUCUGUUGCAAUAAUAUCAGUAAACACAACUAAAUGAAUAUGCUCCUCUGAUGAUGGGCCUUGCUUAGAUUUCAAUGGAUUACUUUGGAAAGCUAUGCUAGCUACCUUUUUACCUAUUUUCCACACAAAUAUUUUCUGGUUGAAAUCCAAUCGAUAAUAAUUAUCAAGUAACCAAUCUUAUCCUAACAGGAUCUAUGGCACUAGCAACAAUGUUUGAUGGAAGUUCCACUUUUUAAUCGUAACUGGUAGUCAUGUUUCUUUUUUAAUUUGCUUCCCUUUAUUACAGGUGGUUCCGGUAACACACACUCCCAUUACUGGUACUAGGAGGCAACAAUAUUCCUCAUUAGCGCUAGCCAUGGUGUAAGAUUAAUGAUAUUUUAUGCACAGAAUAUAGGUGAACAUCAACUUUAUUUCCAAAAAUGUCACUCACUACUAUUGGUUUACAAUGUUCUCCCUUAGCUGUUACUUUUCCUUCUUUAAACAACUACUCAAGAAUAGGUCUCAGCCAUGUGAGGAUUACUGUCUUCUCUGAAUGAGGGCCUACUAUUCUAUUAUUAGUUUGGCAUGGAUCUUAGUGUCAAAUCUUUUUCCUGAACUUUAGGGUGAAUUUUACAGCAAUUCAUCCACAAGGCUUUAAUGUAGCAAAAAUUAUGUUUAUAUCUUUUUUAGUAAUAGGUCAAAUUUCGGACAACUUUUUCCAUAAUGAAUCAUAUUUCGACCAAAUUUUUUUCCAGAAAUCCAAAUGUUUGUCGUAUUUUUAAGUACACAAGAAUAUAAACACGAAAAUUUUACUCACAUGACAAUGUUUGAGGUAAUGUUGUCACAAUUAAACACAAUUACUACAAAGAUUUAUUUAUCGGGUUUAUAGUAGACAAGCAGUGUAACACAUUAUGUAGUCCGUACACUGAUAUAAAGAUUGUUGCACAGAGUCUACAAAACAUUCUCGAAGCCAACAAGGGUGGCUUCUGGCACAAUAAACAUAGCACAAGUAGUCGCCCCAUUCAGUUUGAAUACAAACUUAGUCCUAUUCGACGAAACCAGGGGAGAAAUUCUUCAGCAAUGACAAGGAAAUAUUAUUUUAUAAACUAUAUGAAGUUAAGGUUAAUGGGGGAAAUGGCUUUAACGUGUAAAAACACUGCAACACCUCCAAACACAGUAGCUGCACGAAGAUAAGUGCUGAGAAGGACAGCAGACGAACGCUGUUAUUUGAGUAGACAUGUCCAUCUUCAGAGGUGCAAGAACUUGUUUAAGAUGGUGGUGUCUUGCAAUGUCCUAUUGGAGAAGCUGAAGAAUCCCCGCUUCAGACAGUUCUUGAAGUACAAAAUAAAUCCAGUUCCAGAUGAAGCUACGCUGAGAAACGACUAUUUAUCUGUGUGCUACGAGGAAGUGCUCGACAAAAUACGAACUAAAGUUGUUGACCAAGAGAUUAGGGCGUCUAUCGGAAAUCACCAAUUUGGAUAGGGGUUAAAUUGUAAAUACUUUUGUUGGUGUCCUUAAAGUUGACGGACCUGGAGAAAUGUUUCUCCUAAGGGUGUGAAGCUCUCAGCAGAAUAAACAGCUCGACAACUGCCUUUGCGUUUGACAACUCAAUGAAGCUACUGUCACUGUUGGUGUGAAUAGAGACCAAUAAAUGGUGCUUCAUACAUGGCUGUAGCAGCCUACAGACUUCAGAGUCUCUAUCCCAGUGUGGCACACAUCACUUGCCUUGCACACGCAUUGUACAGAGCUGUAGAAGAGGUGAAAUUAAAUUGCACUGAUGUGAGCCAACCGAUCUCCUCUAGCAAGAAAAUCUAUGUGAAAGCUCCACUAAGAGUACAAAAAUUAAAGAACAGGGAGCUUCCCUCCAUUUCCCCCUCAGCUUGUACUUACACAAUGAGGUUCUUGGGUUAAUGUUGUUAAGUAUUACUGUACCUAUUACACCAAAACAAGACGAUCUUUUCUGAGCCUGAUAGUGAUUAAUAAAGUGCUAUCAGAACUGCCAAAGAGUUCUUUACAGAUACGUUGUCUCUAAACUUGACAUACAUCAACGCGCUGUGUCAUCCGAACAAGACACAGGUGCAAAGAUGCGAGCUGGUGCCAGUGCCAUAGAGACUCUCCACUUGCGCGAGUUCCACCUGCGCCACUGUCGGCGCUGAGCAUGGAGGUAAGAAUAGAGGGAGACGCCGUGAUGUCACAGCUGUGAAGUUAUGUGAAGCCGAGGGUAGCCAUCUCAAUCCGACCAAAACAUUGCUGCUGUAAACUUGUGUGCAUAGGCUUGUCGCUCACUUUUGGAAGGAUUUUGCGCUAUUAUGGUGACUUGUGUGGUGUUCGGAUGUACGAAUCUUUCUGAUUGUGAUGCGAAAUCGAAGGGAAUAACAUUUCAUGUGUAAGUUGUCUCGUUAAGUGUGAUUUUACAACUUCAUUGUGAAUGAACGUGUGCUACAUUGGUACUUGUACUAUAGCGUGUUUUUCUCCUGUAGAUUUCCUAAAAAUGAAAGUCGGAAAGCUCUGUGGGAGAAUGCCGUGAGGAGGAAGAAUUGGUGUGCGUCGAAAUGGAGCACUAUAUGUUCUCAGCAUUUCCGAGAAGAGGACAUAGACCAAACUUCCGUUUCAACAGUAAGGCUCCGAGAAAAUGCUGUACCAUCAGUUUUCCCUACACACCCAAAACAUUUGCAAAAGGAUUGUCAGCGAACAUGGCGUUAUCGUUUGAACAAAGGAAAUGGAUGCUAUAGUGUUACUGGAAAACAGAGAAUUACAGAGUUGGAAGGGCACGAUAUAAUGAAAUCAAUUGCCUAUCAAUGUAUGUGUCAAGGUCUCACUGCAAUAUUGUGAAGAAAGACAAAGGAUUAUACAUAAUAGAUGGUGGGAAACUAUAGCCCAUGUAGGAAGGUGUUAUCACACAGUGAAGUGGAGCAGUAGAGAAGUGUGGAGGGGACAAGAUUUACAUAAGAAAGGCAGUAGAGAGUGGGCAGACAAAGUCUGCAUUGCAAGACCUUGUUGCUGUGGGCAACAAUCAGUUUCAUUUGUUUUGGUUAUGUGUUCCAUUGAUCAUUCUCACAGUAACCAUUAUGAUGUGGAAUGUGUCAAGUGCAUAAUAAAUGCAUACAUGAAUCAA